UCGAAGGUGGAAUCAAUAACUGGGGUGAAGUCGUAACAAGGUAGCCGUAUCGGAAGGUGCGGCUGGAUCCCCUCCUUUCUAAGGAGA
rnacentral:rRNA from 1 species